CAUGCAGACUGGGUGACCGCCGUCCUUCCCGCAUGGGGAGGAGGGAGGAAAGUCCGGGCUCCUCUGGGCAGGGUGCUGGGUAACUCCCAGGUCCCGAUUCCGGUUCGUAGAACCUGCAUCGGGAACGGAAAGUGGCACAGAAACAUACCGUCCUCCCCGUAUGGGAAGGAUAAGGGUGAAAUCGGACGGUAAGAGCGUCCGGCCGUCUGCGGUGACGCAGCGGCGGCUAAACCCCACCUGGAGCAAGG
rnacentral:RNase_P_RNA from 1 species